UACGUAGGGUGCGAGCGUUGUCCGGAAUUAUUGGGCGUAAAGGGCUCGUAGGCGGUUUGUCGCGUCGGGAGUGAAAACCAGGUGCUUAACACCUGGCUUGCUUUCGAUACGGGCAGACUAGAGGUAUUCAGGGGAGAACGGAAUUCCUGGUGUAGCGGUGAAAUGCGCAGAUAUCAGGAGGAACACCGGUGGCGAAGGCGGUUCUCUGGAAAUAUCCUGACGCUGAGGAGCGAAAGUGUGGGGAGCGAACAGG
rnacentral:rRNA from 1 species